CCCAGACUCCUACGGGAGGCAGCAGUGGGGAAUAUUGCACAAUGGGGGGAACCCUGAUGCAGCGACGCCGCGUGGGUGAAGGAGUAUUUCGGUAUGUAAAGCCCUAUCAGCAGGGAAGAACAAUGACGGUACCUGACUAAGAAGCACCGGCUAAAUACGUGCCAGCAGCCGCGGUAAUACGUAUGGUGCAAGCGUUAUCCGGAUUUACUGGGUGUAAAGGGGGCGCAGACGGCAGCGCAAGCCAGGAGUGAAAGCCCGGGGCCCAACCCCGGGACUGCUCUUGGAACUGCGCGGCUGGAGUGCAGGAGGGGCAGGCGGAAUUCCUGGUGUAGCGGUGAAAUGCGUAGAUAUCAGGAGGAACACCGGUGGCGAAGGCGGCCUGCUGGACUGCGACUGACGUUGAGGCCCGAAAGCGUGGGGAGCAAACAGGAUUAGAUACCCCCGUAC
rnacentral:rRNA from 1 species